GACGAACGCUGGCGGCGUGCUUAACACAUGCAAGUCGAACGGUAAGGCCCUUCGGGGUACACGAGUGGCGAACGGGGGAGUAACACGUGGGUGAUCUGCCCUGCACUUCGGGAUAAGCCUGGGAAACUGGGUCUAAUACCGGAUAGGACUCCUGGCUUCAUGGUUGGGGGUGGAAAGCUUUUGCGGUGUGGGAUGGGCCCGCGGCCUAUCAGCUUGUUGGUGGGGUAAUGGCCUACCAAGGCGACGCAGGGUAGCCGGCCUGAGAGGGUGACCGGUCACACUGGGACUGAGAUACGGCCCAGACUCCUACGUGAGGCAGCAGUGGGGAAUAUUGCACAAUGGGCGCAAGCCUGAUGCAGCGACGCCGCGUGAGGGAUGACGGCCUUCGGGUUGUAAACCUCUUUCAGCUAUGACGAAGCGCAAGUGACGGUAGUAGCAGAAGAAGGACCGGCCAACUACGUGCCAGCAGCCGCCGUAA
rnacentral:rRNA from 1 species